GACGAACGCUGGCGGCGUGCUUAACACAUGCAAGUCGAGCGGAGCGGCGAACGGGUGAGUAACGCGUGAGUAACUGCCCCCCUCUCUGGGAUAACAGUUGGAAACGGCUGCUAAUACCGGAUAUUGGGGGAUGACUCGCGUCCUUGCAGCUUGUUGGUGGGGUAGUGGCCUACCAAGGCGACGACGGGUAGCCGGCCUGAGAGGGCGACCGGCCACAUUGGGAUGGGAUACGGCCAAAACUCCUACGGGAGGGAGCAGUGGGGAAUAUUGGACAAUGGGGGAAACGCUGAUGCAGCAACGCCGCGUGAGUGAUGACGGGCUUAGGGUUGUAAAGCUCUGUUAAUCGGGACGGCGAAUAGUGCGAGGAUUUGACGGUACCGGAAUAGAAAGCCACGGCUAACUACGUGCCAGCAGCCGCGGUAAUUC
rnacentral:rRNA from 1 species